AUGAUGACCCUCGACAAUGGAUAUCUCAGCUCUCGCAUCGAUGAAGAACGUAGCGAAAUGCGAUACUUGGUGUGAAUUGCAGAAUCCCGUGAACCAUUGAGUCUUUGAAUGCAAGUUGCACCCGAGGCCACCCGGUCAAGGGCAUGCCUGGCUGGGCAUCACGC
rnacentral:rRNA from 1 species